GACGAACGCUGGCGGCGUGCCUAACACAUGCAAGUCGAACGGGGUGAUUCCUUCGGGGGAUCACUUAGUAGCGAACGGGUGAGUAACGCGUGAGGAACCUGCCUCUCAGUGGGGGACAACAGUUGGAAACGACUGCUAAUACCGCAUAAUGUUUUCGGACCGCAUGAUCUGAAAACCAAGAUUUAUUGCUGAGAGAUUGGCCUCGCGUCUGAUUAGCUAGUUGGUGGGGUAACGGCCCACCAAGGCGACGAUCAGUAGCCGGUCUGAGAGGAUGAACGGCCACAUUGGGACUGAGAUACGGCCCAGACUCCUACGGGAGGCAGCAGUGGGGAAUAUUGGGCAAUGGGGGAAACCCUGACCCAGC
rnacentral:rRNA from 1 species